ensembl:misc_RNA
CUAACAGCCCUGGAAAUGGAAGAGCUCUGUACAUAUACAGAACAGGUAGAGCAUAGCUCAAAUUCAGUGCAAGCUUCUCCACAUUGUCCUGUUAAUGUACCUCAACUCUGACUUGCUGUGAUGGGACCUUAUCCAGCCUUCUUUGACCCCUUAGUGUAGAGAUCAG